AGAGAACAUGAGCUGGGGUGGGAGGGGCAGAGGGAAAUGAGAAGCAAACUCCCCACUAAGCAGGAAGCCUGACUUGGGCCUCCAUCCUGGGACUCCAGGAUCAUGACCUGAGCCAAAGGCAGAGGAUUAAUUGACUGAGCCACCUAGGUGCACCAGUCUUUCAGUUUCUGAGCUCUACUCCUGUUCUACCACAUCAUGACUCUUCUCUUCUGCACGUUCCUCUCCAGGACUCAAGAAACACACUGUCUCUGGGAAAAAGUUUGUUUAUGAGAUCUAAAUUUAAUAGCUUUUUAAUAUAUAAACAGUUGGACAUUAUAUUGGAGUGCUAAUGUUCUCUGAAGACUUUGCAAGUUAGCAAGAAUCAAAGUCUAAGUAAAAGAAAUGAUGCUUCUACAGAUAAUUUCAGACAACAUGAAGAGGAAGAUUCUUUGUUUUGUUAAAUUAGGACAGACUACUAUGGACAAAAUUUAAAAUAUUCAGGUGAUUUCUAUAUCAUGUACAUUUAAUGAAGUCAUGGAAGUUUCUAGAGAGAGAGAGAGAACACAAGCAGGGAUGGUGGGAGAGGAAGAAGCUGGCUCCUCAGUGAGCAAAGAGCCCUAUGGAAUAAGAAGCUUAAUCCCAGGAGCCUGGGAUUGUGACCAGAGCUAAGGACAGACACUUAAGCAAUCGACUGAGCCAUCCAGGCACCCCACAGUUAAUUUUUUUUUAAAUAAGAUAGAAUAAUUUUAGAUAUUUACUAAUAACUAGUUAGUUGUAAAAUGGGAGUUUAUAUAAGGUUUCUAGUAUUGCCUAAAAUUUCAUAACAGUGUAUAGUUUUUCUUUGAAGAACACUGAUCUAUAAGAGACUAAUGCUAGUUUUUAAGUUCAUUGAUUUUCAGUUGCUAAGAAAAAAAGGAUGAUGUUACUUAAACUUGUUUGCCCCCUUCUUAGAUUUUAUUGACAAAAUCUGUAAUGUGUUUUGCAUACUUGAAAAUAAGAUAGGCUGACAGGUGCUUUAGUACUGAAACAUGAAGAAUAGAGUAUGAAAUUUUAUUAUCUUAUUUAUUAGCCUCAUAUUUUGUUUACUUAAAGCAAACAUUUAUUUUCUUAAGUAUGAAGUAAAUUUUUUUUAAAGGAUGGAUUAAGUGAUUAAAACAUGAAUGGACUAAAGCAAAAUUUCCCAAAUUGUGAAACUUUAAAAAAUCAAUCCGUUAUAUUCAUAAAUGUAUACUGGUUUUAGGCAUCACAGUGAAAACAGAGGUAAUUUCUUUUUUGAAGCUUAUUCUUUUGCAGCCAGAAGGUAGAAGAGAAUGUUUUGGAAGAUGUUCAACAUUUAAUUACCUAAAAUCUGAUUUUUGCUAAGCAAUGUCAAUACUUUUCACCAAUUGAAUUAAAAUGCUUAUUUUAUAUUGUAUAGUACACAGAACAUUUCAGAACUAAUAAAAAAUGUAAAUGAAGGAAAGAAAAUGGCUAA
rnacentral:lncRNA from 1 species